AGUAGAAUUGUUGAAUCAUGUGGUUAAUUUAUGUUUUAUUUUUGAGGAACCACCAAGCUGUUCUCCAUAGAGUCUGCAUCAUUUUACAUGCCCACCAGCAAU
rnacentral:pre_miRNA from 1 species